rnacentral:tRNA from 1 species
ACCUACUUAACUCAGUGGUUAGAGUACCGCUUUCAUACGGUGGGGGUCAUUGGUUCAAAUCCAAUAGUAGGUA